rnacentral:lncRNA from 1 species
UCUCGGAAAGUCAAAAUUGCAUCUCCAAUGCGUUGUAUUACAUUCAACACAGAAAAAUUAAAUUGAAUCAAUAGCAUGUAGAUCAAUUCAAUAAAUUCAUCAUAAAAAGAAUGAUUAAAACAUAAUUCUCCCCUAAUUGAAGAUCAAACUCUCUUUAGCACAACAUCAAAAGCGUGCUGAUAACGUGUUGUAGGUAUAAUUUACUAAACAAUUAUGGAGGCUAUAGAGAGGGGGUGCGGCAAUAGUAGAGAGAUGUGUAAUUGUAAGGUGUGUUCUAUUACACCUCAUUGUGCCUUUAUUUAUAGUAGUAGAGAAUGUUAAUUCUGUACCCUAAUAGGAUUUCAACUAUAAUAGGAUAUUAAUUACUAAAAAGAAUAUUCAAAGGUAUCACUAGAUACACUAGGAUUUACACAAUUACAUUCCUAAUCUAAUAAGACUGCAACAUUUCUAUGUAUGUUGUUGAUGCACAAAAUCAGUGGGGACUUUGGUACAACAGAAAAUGUUAAGUUUGUGACCUUCGCUAGAUUGCUCUGGUCACUAGUGUGGAUAAGUAUGUAAAUGGAUAGGGAUAGGAAAGCAAACACAAGAUGUACGUGGUUCACCCAGAUUGGCUACGUCCAUAGAGUAGAGGAGUCUCAUUAAUUGUGAAGGGUUUACACAAGUACAUAGGUUCAAGCUCUCCUUUUGUGAGUACUAGUGAAUGAUUUAGUACAAAUGAUAUUAGGAAAUAUUGUGAGAGAAUGAUCUCUAGUUAUAGAAGAGAGUUUCUAGUUUCAUUCUGACAUUGACACGUGUCGUGUUGUGAUUGGCUU